CCGCGCUGUGAUGAGCUCGUCCGGCUCGAGUGUCGCCACCAUGAGAGCCGCCUGCAUGCACUACCAGCUGAGCGCGG